rnacentral:rRNA from 1 species
AUGGAGGGAGUACCAAUCUUCAAGAACAAGGGAGAUGUUCAGAGUUGUACUAAUUACCGUGGAAUUAAGCUGAUGAGCCAUACAAUGAAGCUAUGGGAGAGAGUCAUUGAGCACCGCUUAAGAAGAAUGACAAGCGUGACCAAAAAUCAGUUUGGUUUCAUGCCUGGGAGGUCGACCAUGGAAGCCAUUUUCUUGGUACGACAACUUAUGGAGAGAUACAGGGAGCAAAAGAAGGACUUGCAUAUGAUGUUCAUUGUCUUGGAGAAGGCCUAUGAUAAGAUACCGUGGAAUGUCAUGUGGUGGGCCUUGGAGAAACACAAAGUCCCAGCAAAGUACAUUGCCCUCAUCAAGGACAUGUACGACUAUGUUGUGACAAGUGUUCGAACAAGUGAUGUCGACACUGAUGACUUCCCGAUUAAGAUAGGACUGCAUCAGGUGUCAGCUUUGAGCCCUUAUCUUUUUGCCUUGGUGAUGGAUGAGGUCACAAGGGAUAUACAAGGAGAUAUCCCAUGGUGUAUGCUGUUUGCGGACGAUGUGGUGCUAGUUGACGAUAGUCGGACGGGGGUAAAUAGGAAGUUAAGUUGUGGAGACAAACCUUGGAAUCGAAAGGGUUUAGGCUUAGUAGAACUAAAACCGAGUACAUGA